rnacentral:rRNA from 1 species
AUUGAACGCUAGCGGCAUGCCUUACACAUGCAAGUCGAACGGUAACAGGUCUUCGGAUGCUGACGAGUGGCGAACGGGUGAGUAAUACAUCGGAACGUGCCUAGUAGUGGGGGAUAACUACUCGAAAGAGUGGCUAAUACCGCAUGAGAUCUACGGAUGAAAGCAGGGGAUCGCAAGACCUUGUGCUACUAGAGCGGCCGAUGGCAGCUUAGGUAGUUGGUGGGAUAAAAGCUUACCAAGCCGACGAUCUGUAGCUGGUCUGAGAGGACGAUCAGCCACACUGGGAAUGAGACACGGCCGAGACUCGUACGGGAGGCAGCAGUGGGGAAUUUUGGACAAUGGGCGCAAGCCGGAUCAAGCAAUGCCGCGUGCAGGAUGAAGGCCUUCGGGUUGUAAACUGCUUUUGUACGGAACGGAAAGCCCUGGGUUAAUACCCUGGGGUCAUGACGGUACCGUAAGAAUAAGCACCGGCUAACUACGUGCCAGCAGCCGCGGUAAUAC